UCCAAAUGCCAGUGUUGAAAAACCUGCAGUUCCAUGCUCUAAUCCCAAGGAAAUUCCCAAGCAAGCCGAGGGAGAGACUCAGACUCCCCAACACAUCAGAAGAUCCAAUGAAGAGGUGGCAGGAGCCAGUGGGACGUCAGAAAACCCUGAGGCUCCCACCAUCCUUUUGGAGAUGAUUGUGCCAUCUGACUCCAUGAAAUGACUGAUCAUCCCCAUGUUACAGAUGAGGAAGUGGAGGCCCAGGGACAGCGUCCUGUCCAAGCUGUUAAGCACUGUGUCACACUGCCCCCUGCUGAGCACCUACUAAGUGCCAGGCUCUUAGAAAACGAUGGUGUUUAAGACCUCCCCAAGGAGGAGCUUCUAUUCUGGUAAGCAGAGUCUGUUCGUGCCUGGCCUGGUCACCUCUGCUUAUCUCCGAGGCCACCGCUGAUGCUGAAGAGAACUGUGCCUCUCUGCCUCAGAGCGUCCUCUGGCCACAGGAGGGGUUUGGCCCACUGUCCUGGACAAGCAAGAAAGGCCAAGGUGUUACAAGAACCAUCACUAACCCCCAAGCCACGAGGGGCGUCAAUUGGCGAAUAAACUCCCACUUUCCUUACCCUCAGCAGGACAGUUCUGAGACGUGAUCUAUAUGGGUUCGCAGACCGUCCCAGUGGGAUCACUGGAGGAGUUAGUGAGACAGGGAUCCAGUGAGACAGACACCGGUGACAUACUGCGUGGGGAGAAGCCCAGGAGGGUUUGAAGCAUAGUACCCGAAUACCAGCAAAACUGGCGGGUCACCGAGCUGGGAGCGGCCACUGUCAUACUAUACCUUUGUUGAUUCCCCCAUACAGGCCUAUGUGCCACAAAGAUAUCUUGAAGCUUUGCAAAAGGAUCAGUGGGGUUGGGGUUUGGUACAUCUCACUCUGAAGAGGCACACUUCUGGUUUCCUCAACAGGAAUAAAACCUAAUGUUUUCAUUGUUGUUAAAAUACUAU